UACAGAGGCCCCGAGCGUUAAUCGGAAUCACUGGGCUUAAAGGGUGCGUAGGCGGGCCAGUAAGCGCUUUGUGAAAUCCCAUGGCUCAACCAUGGAACCGCAGGGCGAACUGCUGGUCUUGAGGAAGCUAGAGGCGGGUAGAACGAUAGGUGGAGCGGUGGAAUGCGUAGAGAUCUAUCGGAAUGCCGAAAGUGAAGACAGCCCGCUGGGGCUUUCCUGACGCUAAAGCACGAAAGCGUGGGGAGCAAACCGG
rnacentral:rRNA from 1 species